AACGAACGCUGGCGGCAUGCCUAACACAUGCAAGUCGAACGAGACCUUCGGGUCUAGUGGCGCACGGGUGCGUAACGCGUGGGAACCUUCCCUUAGGUUCGGAAUAACUCCCCGAAAGGGGUGCUAAUACCGGAUAAUGUCUUCGGACCAAAGAUUUAUCGCCUUUGGAUGGGCCCGCGUUGGAUUAGCUAGUUGGUAGGGUAAAAGCCUACCAAGGCGACGAUCCAUAGCUGGUCUGAGAGGAUGAUCAGCCACACUGGGACUGAGACACGGCCCAGACUCCUACGGGAGGCAGCAGUGGGGAAUAUUGGACAAUGGGCGAAAGACUGAUCCAGCAAUGCCGCGUGAGUGAUGAAGGCCUUAGGGUUGUAAAGCUCUUUUACCCGGGAUGAUAAUGACAGUACCGGGAGAAUAAGCUCCGGCUAACUCCGUG
rnacentral:rRNA from 1 species